GGGGCUGAUUCUGGAUUCGACGGGAUUUGCGAAACCCAAGGUGUAUGCCGAGGGUCGGUUGGCCUCAUAAAAAGCCGCAAAAAUCGAAAACUACGCUUUAGCAGCUUAAUAACCUGCUCUGAGUCCUCUCUCACUAGCUUCCGCUCUUAAGACGGGGAUCAAAGAGAGGUCAAACCCAAAAGAGAUCGCGUGGAUGCCCUGCCUGGGGGGGAAGCGUUAAAACUAAUCAGGCUAGUCUGGUAGUGGCGUGUCUGUUCGCAGGUGCCAGGCGAAUGUAAAGACUGACUAAGCAUGUAGUACCGAGGAUGUAGUAAUUUCGGACGCGGGUUCAACCCCCGCCAGCCCACUU
rnacentral:tmRNA from 1 species